rnacentral:rRNA from 1 species
UAGGGAAUCUUCGGCAAUGGACGAAAGUCUGACCGAGCAACGCCGCGUGAGUGAAGAAGGUUUUCGGAUCGUAAAACUCUGUUGUUAGAGAAGAACAAGGACGUUAGUAACUGAACGUCCCCUGACGGUAUCUAACCAGAAAGCCACGGCUAACUACGUGCCAGCAGCCGCGGUAAUACGUAGGUGGCAAGCGUUGUCCGGAUUUAUUGGGCGUAAAGCGAGCGCAGGCGGUUUCUUAAGUCUGAUGUGAAAGCCCCCGGCUCAACCGGGGAGGGUCAUUGGAAACUGGGAGACUUGAGUGCAGAAGAGGAGAGUGGAAUUCCAUGUGUAGCGGUGAGAUGCGUAUAUAUAUGGAGGAACACCAGUGGCGAAGGCGGCUCUCAGGUCUGUAACUGACGCUGAGGCUCGAAAGCGUGGGGAGCAAACAGG